AUAUUAUUAUUAUAAAAUUCGGUUAUCUUAAAAAAAAUGUUUUAUCCUUGCUUCGCUUGUUUAUAACAUUGCAAACUUUUUGGGCUAUUUAUAGUAAACUAUGACGUUUUCGGCGGUCACAGACAUACAGAUAAAGAUCUUCAUUCUAUGUUUAGCAGAGAUUUUCUGUGUGAAAAGUGACACGGGAGGGCAAACUUUGAUCUAACGACACACUUAGCUGUUCACCGAGUGGUCUGAGACAGUCGUUAGAUUACCAACGAUUUCAAGUGCAACGUUAAUAAAGACUGUUUUGGGAAAUGGCUCGGACAUUUAAAGAUGCUCUUACGAAGGUUCUAACAAUUAAUUUAGCCUUAAGAUGGUUUUGGGAAACCGGGCAAGGUAGAGUUUUUUGCAGCUCGUGGCUUCCUGUGCUCCACAGUCCUCUGUGCAAAAGAAGACAAAACAGGAAGUAGUUGGUUGUUGUUGUAUAGCUACUGUUUGCCAAUCCCGACUCUAAUCAUCGUCCACCAUUGGUCAUCCUGUCUUUCAUAGCCCUUAUGCUGCCACCAUCUGAGGCCCUCGACAUAAGAAGACUGAAGGCCAUCGUUGAAUGCAUAAUGAGGAGAGGUGCCAAGGCCUUGUGAUGUCUUGAUAUGAGACCAGCCUUGGAUCAAAGCAGCUCAAACAGGCUCCAAACCAGGCACCAAGACGCCUAGAACAUUCCCCUUUUACAGUUUAAGGAUGCAACACUUUACAGAUAUGAAAAAUAAUAUUGAAAAUCAAAUAAGAAUCUUGUAUGGCAGAAGAAGAUUACUUAUUAGAUUUUUGUAUAAAUAAUCUAAUAAAGAGCUGAUACAAUUUUG